ACCCUCGAUGACGACGACUUGAUAUCGUACCUGCUUGCAGGACUUGAUAUGGACUAUAAUCCUUUGGUGACAUCUGUCACUAUUGCUCUUAGCCGAUCUGACAAGGUGUCGAUCAGUGAUCUCUAUUCUCAGGUAGUCAACUUCGACU
rnacentral:snoRNA from 1 species